AUUGAACGUUGGCGGCAGGCCUAACACAUGCAAGUCGAGCGAGCGGCGGACGGGUGAGUAAUGUAUGGGGACUGCCCGAUAGAGGGGGAUAACUACUGGAAACGGUGGCUAAUACCGCAUACUGUCGGAUAACCCAUAUGGGGUUAGCUAGUAGUUAAGGUAAUGGCUUACCUAGGCGACGAUCCCUAGCUGGGCUGAGAGGAUGAUCAGCCACCCUGGGACUGAGACACGGCCCGGACCCAUACGGAGGCAGCAGUGGGGAAUGUUACACAAUGGGCGCAAGCCGUAUGCGUCCAUGCCGAGUGUAUGAAGAAGUCCCUAGGGUUGUAAAUUACUUUCAGUCGGGAGGCGUUACCGACAGAAGAAGCACCGGCUAACUCCGUGCCAGCAGCCGCGGUAAUAC
rnacentral:rRNA from 1 species